rnacentral:rRNA from 1 species
AAAGAAACCAACAGGGAUUGCCCCAGUAACGGCGAGUGAAGCGGCAACAGCUCAAAUUUGAAAUCCGGCCCCCCGGGGCCCGAGUUGUAAUUUGUAGAGGAUGCUUCUGGCGAGGCGCCGCCUGAGUUCCCUGGAACGGGACGCCACAGAGGGUGAGAGCCCCGUCUGGCUGGACGCCGAGCCUGUGUGAAGCUCCUUCGACGAGUCGAGUAGUUUGGGAAUGCUGCUCAAAACGGGAGGUAUAUGUCUUCUAAAGCUAAAUAUUGGCCAGAGACCGAUAGCGCACAAGUAGAGUGAUCGAAAGAUGAAAAGCACUUUGAAAAGAGGGUUAAACAGUACGUGAAAUUGUUGAAAGGGAAGCGCUUGCGACCAGACUCGGCCGCGGCGGAUCACCCGGCGUUCUCGCCGGUGCACUCCGCCGCGGCCGGGCCAGCAUCGGUUCGCCCCGGGGGAGAAAGGCGUCGGGAAUGUGGCCCCUCCGGGGGUGUUAUAGCCCGGCGCGGAAUACCCUGGGCGCGGACCGAGGACCGCGCGUUUACGCAAGGAUGCUGGCGUAAUGGUCGCCAGCGACCCGUCU